AAGGAUUGUAGAAUAGAACAAUAUCGGACCUCUGAAAAGUAUACAGUGUACUGUGCUUGAUUGGCCAGCAAACUCGCCUGACCUGACCCCAUAGAGAAUCUAUGGGGCAUUGCCAAGAGAAGGAUGAGAGACAUGAGACCAAACAAUGCAGAAUUGCUGAAGGCCGCUAAUGAAGCAUCCUGGUCUUCCAUAACACCUCAUCAGUGCCACAGGCUGAUAGCAUCCAUGCCACGCCGCACUGAGGCAGUAAUUGCUGCAAAAAGGGCCCAAACCAAGUACUGAAUACAUAUGCAUGCUUAUACUUUUCGGAGGUCCAAUAUUGUUCUAUUCUACAAUCCUUGUCUUCUUGGUUCCAUGUAAUAUUCUAAUUUUCUGGGAUUGUGGAUUUGGGGUUUUCAUGAGCUGUACGCCAUGAUCAUCACAAUUAUAACAAAUUAAGGCUUGACUUAUCUCGCUUUGCAUGUAAUGCGUCUGUCUCAUAUAUCAGUUUCACCGUUUAAUUUGCAUUACUGAAAUUAAUGGACUUUUGCACGAUAUUCUAAUUUUCCGAGUUUCACCUGUAAGAAGGACCCUCCUGGAUCAAAACAAAGGUCCAUCCAGUUCAGUAUACUAUUUCUGCAGCGUCUAACCCGAUGCUUCUAGGAAGCCCAGAAGCAGGAUAUGUAGGCAGGAUGGAGAAGUUUCAGUUUGUGUCCAGGGAGAGGGGAAAAGAGACAAAGCAGGCAAGGGCCAGAAACGGAGCUUUUAAAAAUGUUUUACAAAGUUCAGAUAAGUUAAUAGUCUAUAUUACCAUGCAAAAAGAAAGAGAAUAAGGGGAAACCUAACCGCAGCCGAAUUUGAGCAGGAACCAAAGGCACAGCAACGUGGGAUUAAAUCAACUGAGCACAGACAACAACCCAUCUGAAUGAGCCCUGGCUGCAACAGACAAGCAGGACCACACUAAGAGCAUGUCUGCCUUAUGGUUACUGGAGGAUGUCCCAACGUACUGUUGAGGUGUCCUCUAAUCACGUGAUUAAAACUCUGCGGAGUCUGGAGCAUGUGUACAGAGGUGAUUCAGAUGAACACCCCCUCAUGCGAUUAAAGCAGAGAUUCUCAAACUUGAGUCCCCAUUUGAUAGGUUUAUCGAAUACAUAUAUUGUAAGUCUUUUUAGAACUGGUAUCUAUCGUUGGGUAGUAUACCAUUAAAUCUUCAGUUACAGUGAUACAGUUGACUUCCAACAGUUAUAUAAAUUGUGUUUGUUUAAGAUGGGGCUUGAGUAGUUUUCUUUCUUGCUGGAAUGGUAUAGCAAGCUGGUGCUUUAGCAUAUCUUCUUGAAGAAAUAAAGAUGAUUCUAUGUAUUGUGAGUUCUGUACAACCCUUUUGCUGAAUUUUGUUCUAUCUUACAAUAUGUUACUUGAUAUAAGGUGUCUUUCAUAUUGAGUUUUUGAGGCUUUUUUCAUAUCAAGUAUUUAUUAAGGGUUUGUAGAAGAUGUUCUGAGCCACCUAAUGGUGCAGCGGGAAAUGACUUGACUAGCAAGCCAGAGGUUGCUGGUUGGAAUUCCCACUGGUACAUUUCCCAGACUAUGGGAAACACCUAUAUUGGGCAACAACGAUAUAGGGAAAUGCUAAAAGGCACCAUCUCAUACUGCACAGGAGGAGGCAGUGUUAAACUCCUGUAUUCUACCAAAGACAACCACAAGGCUCUGUGGUCACCAGUUCAGUAUAAGUGUGACUCAAUGGCACACUUUACCUUUAGAAGAUGUUGCUUGAAUAAUUUUCUAUCUUAACUUGUUACAGUAAGUAGGCUUUCAAUAUAUCAGUCAGAUGAUUCAAUUUACUGUGACUUUUAUACACUUUUUGUUUAACAUUUCUAUAAUGUCACUUGAAGCAAGGUAUAUUGUGAAUUUUCUGAGAUCUAAUGCACUUAUAUGCAUAUGAUUUAUUAACUAGAACAUAACUGAGUUUUUAUUAUUUCUUGGAAGAGUGUAGUCUGGAGCAUACAGACCAAUACUACCAGCAUUAUCAAGCUUAUAGAAUUUCUUCUAAGACUGCAAGCUGGUUGUUCUAAUAUAUCUUCUUGAGGCAACAGAGGUGAUUCUACAUAUCAGUGGAACAUGUAAAUCAAUAACAGCAGUCUUGUCAAGUUGCAUUGAAGCUUUUUAAAUUUCUCUAACAUUAUCAUCCACUUGACAAAGUUUAACAAUGAAAUGGGGGUCACGAUUAUGGAUUUGUAUGAUAUCGGUUGUAUUGACUUUUAUACUAUGGAUUUCAUUGUAUUAUCCUCACAAGUAUCUUUAUGAAGUAUUAUCUUGGGUUGAAUUUUGGUUCUAUUAGAAGUUGAGUGUGUCUUGUGUCAACAUAAAGGACACCCAUAUCAACAGUGUUUGUUAUACAUUCUUUAUUAUAUAGGGGGGAGUGUAUUGCUUCUCAUGUGUCUCAUGUAGAGAUCCCAGUAUGCAUUGUUCAUCCCUUCUGAACUACCAUGUACAUUCAACAGCAGCUGUAGUUUAGACAGCUGAAUGGUGCAAGCUAGGAUUUUGACUGCCAUGAAAUCCUUCAAGUGCUCUUUUGAAGAGCCAAUGUGAACAAAAGCUUCAUAUACAUCUUUGGCUUGGGGUUUUCACAAGCAGGGCAUGCAUUUUAUUUGGUGAACAACAGCAAACCCACCCACCCCACAAUCAAGUUUUCAUUGGCAUAUGAAGUAUUACAUGUAUUUUCACCCGCACUGACAUUUCCAUGAUGGUGGCCUGGCCCCGAAACCGAAAAUAUCGGGAUUCACCAAGGAAAACACAUUAACUUCUCUUUAAUUUUAUGGAGGAGGGGCAAAUAGAUACCCUUUAUGUAUGAAAAGAUUGGAAUUCUCAUACACUCACUAUAGAAAUUUGAUGAGGGAUGGUGUGACCUGUUCUUGGCAAAUUAGAUAAACUUUGGACACUUAGACCAGGAGAAGCAUGUGUGGGUUUUGUUCUGUUUGAGCUAUGAACAGAUACACCAGGCAGCUUGGGUCCAGCUUGGACUACAGACUCAUCUUCUCCAUCAGGCUGCCUCUCCAAGAGGCCUCCAUGAUGUAGAAAUCCUAGAGGGGGAAGGGGAAGAACCAGUGGUCAGAUAAUAUGGAGGGAGGAAAGGGAGCAAAAUUCUGAGGUGAGGUAGCUCCUGCUUGCUGCUCCCAUUCUGACUUGGGACAGGCUUUCCUCUUACCUUCUUCCUUGAAGUGUAGCCCUCUACAGGAUCCUAGUGUUUUAUAGCUGCUUCCCUCUUAAACACAAAACAAUCUUAUGUAGUUUAACUGAGCUUGACUCAAACACAGUUUUUCCCCUCCUCCUUUCCUUUCUAACCCCACCCACCACACUCUAUAGGAUCCCCACUGGGACAAACUUCUAAUUAGCAAAAAAUAAAAUAUUGUUUGUUCGAAUACAGUACCCAGGAGUAGUCCUUUUUGGCCUUGGAUAAGGAACUGAGGUGCUCUCACACUCAUGCUGUUUUGGGGUCUGGUAUUGUCUCCAGUCAUCCAUCCCCAUUGCACAGAAAUUCAGGUUCCACAAUGUCCCUCCAUAAGGUGUUGCUAAUAGAGAAAGUGGGGCUACCACCCUCAUUUAGUUAUAUAUUAAUAGUAUUUAAAUCUGCCUGUGCAUAGAUGCCUAAAUACUCCUCCAGGGUGCUUUCCAGACUACAACCGGGAUCAGGGCGUAUCUCAGAAGGGUGCUUCUACACUUCCUGUGUCGUGACACUGCAGUCUCUACGCGGACAGCAGGGUGCCGUUCACACUGCCAAUGCCUUGUCUCAAAUUUAAUCGUUGGGAUAUAGAGCUAGGACGCCGUAUAUCCAGCAUGUAAAAGUUGCUGGUUUGGGGGGUUGUUAGUUGCUGUGAGAUGGCUCCCCCUGCUGCUUAUGUUCCAAAUGCCACUUGCCUAAAUGGAGACAUUUUGCUGAUGAUGAGCAGCUACUCUGGAAAGCGUCCAAGAACAACUGGUUGCCUUCGCUCACAUUAGUUUGGGUUACUACUCUUCUCUCAUCUUCUCUCAGCCUCUCCCAUGUUAGGAAAAAGAUCCUUACUACCUUCUGAAAAGUAGCCUACCUAUCCCAGGCUAUAGAGCUUCUGUCCCACAAUGCACUUUUAGGUCCCCUCUCUGUCUCUAUUCUGGCAUUUUCAGUAGGUAUCCUUCUGACCUUUUCGUGACCUUCCUGCUGACCAGGUGUCCUGACAUCUUCCUGGCCUUUGUCUGACUUUGGGGAUGAAUUGACCAUGGCCUGUGACUUUGCACUUUUAUAUAGACAACAACUUGGAACCCACUCCUCCCCACAAACUCCUCCCUUUUAGUAGUUUUACACUGCACAGUGAUGGCAUUUAACCAAAUGCACACUAGCAGCCAUUUUGCUUUGCUAGUUCUGUGGGAGAGAGGUGUGUGUGAAGUCAAGCAGGUAGGUACAUCUUAGGUACAUCUUAGCAGGUAGGUACAUCUUGUCAGGCAAAAGUGUUUGAAAAGCAUCACCUGCCAUAAUUGCUUCAUUUAAUGAAAUAAUGCUGUUCCCCCCAGAAAUCCUGGUUAUUCUACUGCUCAAGCUAGGAUGAAGCAGAGACAGGCUAAGCCCAGCCCAUCAUGUGGGACGCCUACUGAUACUACCUGGUAGCUCGGGGACAUUGCUCCCCAUGGAAGAUUGGGGUGGUUGGGCCUGCCACCCCCAAAGUUAGUGUCCCUGCAUGUUGGCAAAUGGUAUUGCUCCUCGACAACUGGUAUUCACAGGCACACUUCUUCUAAACCUGAAGCCCUUCAUCGAUUCUAGACACCGAUUCCGGACAUUCAUAGCCUCUCCUGCUGGAGAUGGUAGUGAGAGAUAAAGCUGGGUGUCAUCAGAAUACAGCUUAAUUGCACAGGGGAGGACAGCUGGGAAGAUAAGGGAAAACGCCUAGAAGGAAAAUACUCCGCUCCUUCAGACUGCAGCACUCUUUCCUCGAUCACUGAAGAGCCAGUGAGACUACAGAUUCUCCAGGAAUGCAUGAAAUCUAAAACCAUUACAUCAUGCAGUGAAACUUCCAUGAACAUAUCCAGCCAGAUCUGACAAUCUUGUUCUAUGGAGAUAAGAUCCACCUCGUCGUUCGGCAAAAUGUCUGCUCUGAGAUCUUUCAGCAUGGCUAAUGUUACAAAUAAAUUAUACAUAAGUAACACUAUACAAGUGCACUGAUUUAAAGCUAUGCCGCACUAGUAACCAUACUGCAUCUGUACUGGGCCUAGCCAGCCA